rnacentral:rRNA from 1 species
GUGAACGCUGGCGGUAGGCCUAACACAUGCAAGUCGAACGGCAGCACAGUAAGAGCUUGCUCUUACGGGUGGCGAGUGGCGGACGGGUGAGGAAUACAUCGGAAUCUACUUUUUCGUGGGGGAUAACGUAGGGAAACUUACGCUAAUACCGCAUACGACCUACGGGUGAAAGCAGGGGAUCUUCGGACCUUGCGCGAUUGAAUGAGCCGAUGUCGGAUUAGCUAGUUGGCGGGGUAAAGGCCCACCAAGGCGACGAUCCGUAGCUGGUCUGAGAGGAUGAUCAGCCACACUGGAACUGAGACACGGUCCAGACUCCUACGGGAGGCAGCAGUGGGGAAUAUUGGACAAUGGGUGCAAGCCUGAUCCAGCCAUACCGCGUGGGUGAAGAAGGCCUUCGGGUUGUAAAGCCCUUUUGUUGGGAAAGAAAAGCAGCAGGUUAAUACCCCGCUGUUCUGACGGUACCCAAAGAAUAAGCACCGGCUAACUUCGUG